GGUGCUUGCACUUGAAAGAUUUAACAUUGAGACGAGUGGCGAACUGGUGAGUAACACGUGGGUAACCUGCCCUUGAAGUAGGGGAUAACACUUGGAAACAGGUGCUAAUACCGUAUAACAACCAAAACCACCUGGUUUUGGUUUAAAAGACGGCUUCGGCUGUCACUUUAGGAUGGACCCGCGGCGUAUUAGCUUGUUGGUAAGGUAACGGCUUACCAAGGCGAUGAUACGUAGCCGACCUGAGAGGGUAAUCGGCCACAUUGGGACUGAGACACGGCCCAAACUCCUACGGGAGGCAGCAGUAGGGAAUCUUCCACAAUGGACGAAAGUCUGAUGGAGCAACGCCGCGUGAGUGAUGAAGGGUUUCGGCUCGUAAAACUCUGUUGUUGGAGAAGAACAGGUGUCAGAGUAACUGUUGACAUCUUGACGGUAUCCAACCAGAAAGCCACGGCUAACUACGUGCCAGCAGCCGCGGUAAUACGUAGGUGGCAAGCGUUGUCCGGAUUUAUUGGGCGUAAAGCGAGCGCAGGCGGUUUUUUAGGUCUGAUGUGAAAGCCUUCGGCUUAACCGGAGAAGUGCAUCGGAAACCGGGAGACUUGAGUGCAGAAGAGGACAGUGGAACUCCAUGUGUAGCGGUGAAAUGCGUAGAUAUAUGGAAGAACACCAGUGGCGAAGGCGGCUGUCUGGUCUGUAACUGACGCUGAGGCUCGAAAGCAUGGGUAGCGAACAGGAUUAGAUACCCUGGUAGUCCAUGCCGUAAACGAUGAGUGCUAAGUGUUGGAGGGUUUCCGCCCUUCAGUGCUGCAGCUAACGCAUUAAGCACUCCGCCUGGGGAGUACGACCGCAAGGUUGAAACUCAAAGGAAUUGACGGGGGCCCGCACAAGCGGUGGAGCAUGUGGUUUAAUUCGAUGCUACGCGAAGAACCUUACCAGGUCUUGACAUCUUCUGCCAACUUAAGAGAUUAGGCGUUCCCUUCGGGGACAGAAUGACAGGUGGUGCAUGGUUGUCCUCAGCUCCUGUCCUGGAAAUUUUGGGGUUAAUUCCCGCACCAACGCCACCCCUUAUUGUUAUUUGCCACCAUUCAGUUGGGCACCUAACAAAAAUGCCCGUGAAAACCCGAGGAGAGGGGGGGAUUAACUUCAAA
rnacentral:rRNA from 1 species